CUAGUUUGGGCAAGGGGUUUGUCUUAAGAGAAUCCCUAUCCAAUUCCUUAUCCAGGUUAAAGAUGAAGGUUAAGGUUACUUUGAUCAUUUUCAUUGAAAACAUAACUUAUUUUCAUUGAAAUGCAGGAGUGAUGAAUAGCUUGUUUUCAGUAUACGACAUAUACGAUGAUCUGAUCUCCCGAAGAGUAAAUUCUAGUGAUGCAGAAAAAUUUGCAGAAGUGUGCCCUUGUCCUUGUACUGGUGUUGGAUGGGGUGUUAUUUGGGGUUUGAUAUCUUUUAUCUUUCUUUGCGGAGCAGUGUAUCUGGGUGCUGUGAUCUUGUCAUAAUUCACAAUGUAGCUUUAUCCUGCACUUGUCAUUAGUUUAUGAGUAAUGCCUUCCAUUCUAAUCCUUUUUGGAUUUUUUAUUUUUUGUGCAAGUGCAGCAAGAAACGUUCUAUUACCACUGAAAUGUGAUUCCAUUUAUAUCUAUUCCAUAUUUAUUUUUUAUUCUUA